rnacentral:rRNA from 1 species
UACAGAGGUCUCAAGCGUUGUUCGGAUUCAUUGGGCGUAAAGGGCGCGUAGGCUGCGGGGCAAGUCGGGUGUGAAAUCUCAGAGCUCAACUCUGAAACUGCACUCGAUACUGCUUUGCUUGAGGACUGGAGAGGAGAUUGGAAUUCACAGUGUAGCAGUGAAAUGCGUAGAUAUCGUGAGGAAGACCAGUGGCGAAGGCGGAUCUCUGGACAGUUCCUGACGCUGAGGCGCGAAGGCCAGGGGAGCAAACGGG